rnacentral:ncRNA from 1 species
UUCGUAAAUGCCAAUGGGAGUGGGACAGAAAUGAUAUUUUCGCAAAAUUUAUUUCGUCGUCCCACCCCAACUUGCACAUUAUUGUAACCUGACUUUCCGCCAGCUUCUAUGUUGGGGCCCCGCCAACUUGCACAUUAUUGUAAGCUGACUUUCCGCCAGCUUCUUUGUUGGGGCCCCGCCAACUUGCAUUGUUUGUAGAAUUUCUUUUCGAAAUUCUUUAUGUUGGGGCCUCGCCAAUGUUUUACUUGAAUAAUUCUUUUAGAAUUCU